GACCACUUCAGCUUAAUGUGCCAGGUCCUUCUAGGGUUAACCCAUUUUUUUAUAAACAUAGCAGUUUCUGAGAAACUGCUAUGUUUAUGAAUGGGUUAAGCCUUCCCCCUAAUCCUCUAGUGGCUGUCUAAUUGACAGCCACUAGAGGCGCUUGCGUGCUUCUCACUGUGAUUUUCACUGUGAUUGAGAAUGCUUUCCUAUGC